UCAAACUCCCCAUGUUCCAGAGUUCUCUCUGUAAAUGAAGAUGAUCACAAAGAUGGGCUAAUGGCUCUGCAACCCCUCAUGACCCCUUGGGAUUUCAGAGCACCUCAGAGGAUCUACAACUCCAGAUACCUGCUGCUCAGCUGCCCAUUUCUCCCCAUUAUGGGCAGCGACCCUGUGUUCACAACUUUGCAAAAUUGUACUUUUUCUGAGCUCCCAGUACUCAGUAGUCACUUCCCCUUCUUUCUCCUGCAAUCAAGCUGGAUAGCUUGCAUAGCUGAUUUAUCUCUUCCAGUGGUGCUGAGUCCAAUUCCCAGCAAGGAUAUGGUAGCUCACAGCCAUCUGCAGGGGAUGUCUGAUGCCC
rnacentral:lncRNA from 1 species